UGAGCAAUCUGCCCUUCUCUUCGGAAUAAGCGUGGGAAACCGCGUCUAAUGCCGAAUACGACCUCCUUUCGCAUGAUCGGAGGUGGAAAGCUCCGGCGGAGAAGGAUGAGCUCGCGGCCUAUCAGCUAGUUGGUGUGGGUAAUGGCCUACCAAGGCGACGACGGGUAGCCGGCCUGAGAGGGCGACCGGCCACACUGGGACUGAGACACGGCCCAGACCUCCGUACGGGAGGNAG
rnacentral:rRNA from 1 species